GACGAACGCUGGCGGCGGGCUUAACACAUGCGAGUCGAACGGAAAGGCCCUGCUUUUGUGGGGUGCUCGAGUGGCGAACGGGUGAGUAACACGUGAGUAACCUGCCCUUGACUUUGGGAUAACUUCAGGAAACUGGGGCUAAUACCGGAUAGGAGCUCCUGCUGCAUGGUGGGGGUUGGAAAGUUUCGGCGGUUGGGGAUGGACUCGCGGCUUAUCAGCUUGUUGGUGGGGUAGUGGCUUACCAAGGCUUUGACGGGUAGCCGGCCUGAGAGGGUGACCGGCCACAUUGGGACUGAGAUACGGCCCAGACUCCUACGGGAGGCAGCAGUGGGGAAUAUUGCACAAUGGGCGGAAGCCUGAUGCAGCAACGCCGCGUGCGGGAUGACGGCCUUCGGGUUGUAAACCGCUUUCGCCUGUGACGAAGCGUGAGUGACGGUAAUGGGUAAAGAAGCACCGGCUAACUACGUG
rnacentral:rRNA from 1 species